CAUGUAGGCGGUUGUUUAAGUCUGAUGUGAAAGCCCUGGGCUCAACCCAGGAAGUGCAUUGGAUACUGGAUAACUUGAGUACGGGAGAGGAAAGUGGAAUUUCGAGUAUAGGGGUGAAAUCCGUAGAUAUUCGAAGGAACACCAGUGGCGAAGGCGGCUUUCUGGACCGAUACUGACGCUGAGAUGCGAAAGCGUGGGGAGCAAACA
rnacentral:rRNA from 1 species